UACGAAGGGGGCUAGCGUUGUUCGGAAUCACUGGGCGUAAAGCGCACGUAGGCGGACUUUCAAGUCAGGGGUGAAAUCCCGGGGCUCAACCCGGAACGGUCAGCCGAUACUGCGGGGCUAGAGUGCAGAAGGGGCAACUGGAAUUCUCGGUGUAGCGGUGAAAUGCGUAGAUAUCGAGAGGAACACCUGCGGCGAAGGCGGGUUGCUGGGCUGACACUGACGCUGAGGCGCGAAAGCUAGGGGAGCGAACGGG
rnacentral:rRNA from 1 species